rnacentral:rRNA from 1 species
UACGAAGGGGGCUAGCGUUGCUCGGAAUCACUGGGCGUAAAGGGUGCGUAGGCGGGGCUUUAAGUCAGGGGUGAAAUCCUGGAGCUCAACUCCAGAACUGCCUUUGAUACUGAGGAUCUUGAGUUCGGGAGAGGUGAGUGGAACUGCGAGUGUAGAGGUGAAAUUCGUAGAUAUUCGCAAGAACACCAGUGGCGAAGGCGGCUCACUGGCCCGAUACUGACGCUGAGGCACGAAAGCGUGGGGAGCAAACGGG